rnacentral:rRNA from 1 species
GGCGUGGGGACAGUGUCUGGUGGGUAGUUUGACUGGGGCGGUCUCCUCCCAAAGUGUAACGGAGGAGCACGAAGGUCAGCUAAUCCUGGUCGGACAUCAGGAGGUUAGUGCAAUGGCAUAAGCUGGCUUGACUGCGAGAGUGACGGCUCGAGCAGGUGCGAAAGCAGGUCAUAGUGAUCCGGUGGUUCUGUAUGGAAGGGCCAUCGCUCAACGGAUAAAAGGUACUCCGGGGAUAACAGGCUGAUACCGCCCAAGAGUUCAUAUCGACGGCGGUGUUUGGCACCUCGAUGUCGGCUCAUCACAUCCUGGGGCUGAAGUAGGUCCCAAGGGUAUGGCUGUUCGCCAUUUAAAGUGGUACGCGAGCUGGGUUUAGAACGUCGUGAGACAGUUCGGUCCCUAUCUGCCGUGGGCGCUGGAGAAUUGAGGGGGGCUGCUCCCAGUACGAGAGGACCGGAGUGGACGCAUCACUGGUGUUCGGGUUGUCAUGCCAAUGGCACUGCCCGGUAGCUAAAUGCGGAAGAGAUAAGUGCUGAAAGCAUCUAAGCACGAAACUUGCCCCGAGAUGAGUUCUCCCUGACUCCUUGAGAGUCCUGAAGGAACGUUGAAGACGACGACGUUGAUAGGCCGGGUGUGUAAGCGCAGCGAUGCGUUGAGCUAACCGGUACUAAUGAACCGUGAGGCUUAACCUUACAACGCCAAAGAAGU